ensembl:lncRNA
GCCAUAUACACAGGCCUUACCCAAAGCCAUAUACACAGGCCUUACCCAAAGCCAUAUACACAGGCCUUACCCAAAGCCAUACACAGGCCUUACCCAAAGCCAUACACAGGCCUUACCCAAAGCCAUACACAGGCCUUACCCAAAGCCAUACACAGGCCUUACCCAAAGCCAUACACAGGCCUUACCCAAAGCCAUACACAGGCCUUACCCAAAGCCAUAUACACAGGCCUUACCCAAUGCCAUACACAGGCCUUACCCAAAGCCAUAUACACAGGCCUUACCCAAAGCCAUAUACAGGCCUUAUCCAAAGCCAUAUACACAGGCCUUACCCAAAGCCAUAUACACAGGCCUUACCCAAAGCCAUAUACAGGCCUUAUCCAAAGCCAUAUACACAGGCCUUACCCAAAGCCAUAUACAGGCCUUACCCAAAGCCAUAUACACAGGCCUUACCCAAAGCCAUAUACACAGGCCUUACCCAAAGCCAUAUACACAGGCCUUAUCCAAAGCCAUAUACACAGGCCUUACCCAAAGCCAUAUACACAGGCCUUACCCAAAGCCAUAUACAGGCCUUACCCAAAGCCAUAUACAGGCCUUACCCAAAGCCAUAUACAGGCCUUACCCAAAGCCAUAUACAGGCCUUACCCAAAGCCAUAUACAGGCCUUACCCAAAGCCGUAUAUAAGACUUACUCAAAGCCAUAUACACAGGCCUUACCCAAAGCCAUAUACAGGCCUUACCCAAAGCCAUAUACACAGGCCUUACCCAAAGCCCCAUACACAGGCCUUACCCAAAGCCAUAUACACAGGCCUUACCCAAAGCCAUAUACACAGGCCUUACCCAAAGCCGUAUAUAAGACUUACUCAAAGCCAUAUACACAGGCCUUACCCAAAGCCGUAUAUAAGACUUACUCAAAGCCAUAUACACAGGCCUUACUCAAAGCCGUAUAUAAGACUUACUCAAAGCCAUAUACACAGGCCUUAUCCAAAGCCAUAUACAGGCCUUACCCAAAGCCAUAUACAGGCAUUACCCAAAGCCAUAUACAGGCCUUACCCAAAGCCAUAUACAGGCAUUACCCAAAGCCACACACAGACCUUACCCAAAGCCAUAUACACAGGCCUUACCCAAAGCCAUAUACAGGCCUUACCCAAAGCCAUAUACAGGCCUUACCCAAAGCCAUAUACAGGCCUUACCCAAAGCCAUAUACACAGGCCUUACCCAAAGCCAUAUACAGGCCUUACCCAAAGCCAUAUACAGGCCUUACCCAAAGCCAUAUACACAGGCCUUACCGAUCUUGGUUUUUAGUCGGUUUAUUUCUCUAUUUUACAAGAAAAUACAGGGAUUUACUGUACUUUUUUCUGCUACCUUUUUCUCUUCAUGGGCUCUGCUCCAUCGUCUCUAUGACGUAAUCUAACAGUGUGGAUGAGAUACUGUCUGACAGAAGUACUUUUCCUCAUACAAAGGAUGCUGCUGAAACAAGUAACUUGUCAUUUAAAAAAAGCAACGUCAGUAAAUGUCUUGAGUUCAGUACCUGUUUUAUUCAAACCGUUAUAACAUGGCCAUAGAGCUUAAUAACAUGGUCAUUAUGUACUCUUAUAACAUGGUCGUAACAUGGUCAUAAUAUGGGUUGUACAAUCCAAGCCAGCUGUAAAAACAUCAUGCAAAUGUCUACUAGUUGUUGGCUUCAUUUCUCAAAUAUGUGUGAGUAAAUGGAUUCAAGUUGUUCCUGAAUGAAUAAUUCUGACAAAUUAGUGUUGGUCGCUUAAUCUGACAUACUUGAUCCCACAUCGUUACAAGGCUGUAAUACGAACUCUAGUCACCAGAAAUGUAGAUUUUAGAUUCAAGCAAAUAUUAAUAAGCAUUUAUAAGUUACUUUGAAGCAAUUAUCUAAUGAAUGUUUCAUAAACAAUGCUAAUAAUACAACUAAAUGCACAGGAAGUAGAGUAUUUACAGAGGAAAAAGGCACAGUGAUGACCGAUUGAUCCUGGUCACAGAGAUCAGCUGGUCUGCAGCUUGGCAACAGGCAAGUGGUGUGUAUAUAUUGUCAUCCUCUCUUGCUUUCAAAUUAGGACAUUCAUGCAGAUUCUUCAUCCACAACAAUGGGAAGACCGGCUUCAUUUUCUUGACUAGGGGCUAAAAUGCAAGCGAGGAAAAUCAUAUUAGAAUGGGUGGACAUUCAAGAAAUAUGAAGCAACAAGUUCACUUUGUAUUUCAUGUAAAUAACCCUUCUCACCUCGUUGCAGUUGUAUCGGCCUCUGCUGUGACCUCAGCUGCUUUUCAGGAGCAAGAACAAACACAAAACAGUCAUCAACCUACAUUCACUAAUCGUUAUGUAUUAAGUGUUAAGAGGCCUGGAAGGGUAAUCCUGAAAUAAAUCCUGAACUACAAAAGCUGCAAUGUCCCUUUUCUGCUGUUUGAAGUCAGUGUAGGGCACCUUAUUUGUAGUGCACUACUUCUGACCAGGGCUCCCUAGGUUUGGUUUGGCACUACUUCUGACCAGGGCUCCCUAGGUUUGGUUUGGCACUACUUCUGACCAGGGCUCCCUAGGUUUGGUUUGGCACUACUUCUGACCAGGGCUCCCUAGGUUUGGUUUGGCACUACUUCUGACCAGGGCUCCCUAGGUUUGGUUUGGCAGGCCGUGAAUCAUUCUGCACCUCAGAGAGGCUGCCCUGCUUUCUGUGUCUCUGU